UACGGGGGGAGCAAGCGUUGUUCGGAUUUACUGGGCGUAAAGGGCGCGUAGGCGGCCUCUGCAAGUCGACUGUGAAAUCUCCGGGCUUAACCCGGAAAGGUCAGCCGAUACUGCAGGGCUAGAGUGCAGAAGGGGCAACUGGAAUUCCUGGUGUAGCGGUGAAAUGCGCAGAUAUCAGGAGGAACACCGGUGGCGAAGGCGGAUCUCUGGGCCUUACCUGACGCUCAGGCGCGAAAGCUAGGGGAGCGAACAGG
rnacentral:rRNA from 1 species